rnacentral:rRNA from 1 species
UACGUAGGGGGCAAGCGUUGUCCGGAUUCAUUGGGCGUAAAGAGCGUGUAGGCGGCCAGGUAGGUCGGUUGUGAAAACUGGAGGCUCAACCUUCAGAGGUCGACCGAAACCAUCUGGCUAGAGUCCGGGAGAGGAGAGUGGAAUUCCUGGUGUAGCGGUGAAAUGCGCAGAUAUCGGGAGGAACACCAGUGGCGAAGGCGGCUUCCUGGCCCGUUCUUGACGCUGAGGCGCGAAAGCUAGGGGAGCAAACGGG